AGAAUUUAACUCCUUUCACUAAUGCCCCUCUGAUUUUCUUCUGUUGCAGGUGCAGUUGCCCUUGAGCAUACAUGGAUGAAUUUCCUCUUUGAGAUGCUCCUCAUGGCUUGUGGCUUCGUUCUCAUAACAUGCUUUUGUCACAUUACACGACUUCCAUAGGAUGCAAAAUGUUUUUAUUGAUCUUCUACUGUUGCUCACAUGUUAUUCAUAUGGUUGCCCACAUGUUUUUCAUAUUGUUGCUCAAAUGUUGUUUAUGUUCACUAUGAGUGUAGGCAAAUUGUCAUUGCGUAUGUCUGUAAGGUUUUGAACUGGUUUUGGACAGGUUAAAACAUCUUAUACAGGUGGAUCCACAACUUAACGGGAAUGGACCGGACACGGAAGAUCAACAAUUAGAUGCCUCUUAUUUAGAACUUAAUCUUUCUUGACUCAAGUGAUGUAACAUGGACAAUUGAGGCUUAGGUCUUUUUUUUUUAGGAAAUGGUCAAUAACUGGUUUGUUGGAAUUUGGCCAACCUUUGUAGAGGAUUUGUCAAUUCCUUAUGAUUUUGUAAUGAUGAUUUGUAAUGGAAUUUCUGAAAAGUGAAUUGUAAUUGUAUGAUUUUUAAAGGUGCAUGAAACAGUUUUU
rnacentral:lncRNA from 1 species